UGGGGAAUAUUGCACAAUGGGCGGAAGCCUGAUGCAGCGACGCCGCGUGGGGGAUGAAGGCCUUCGGGUUGUAAACUCCUUUCGACAGGGACGAAGCUUUUGUGACGGUACCUGUAUAAGAAGCACCGGCCAACUACGUGCCAGCAGCCGCGGUAAUACGUAGGGCGCGAGCGUUGUCCGGAAUUACUGGGCGUAAAGAGCUCGUAGGUGGUUUGUCGCGUCGUCUGUGAAAUUCCGGGGCUUAACUCCGGGCGUGCAGGCGAUACGGGCUGACUUGGGUGCUGUAGGGGAGACUGGAAUUCCUGGUGUAGCGGUGAAAUGCGCAGAUAUCAGGAGGAACCCCGAUGGCGAAGGCAGGUCUCUGGGCAAUAACUGAAGCUGAGAAGCGAAAGCAUGGGUAGCGAACAGG
rnacentral:rRNA from 1 species